GGGCUGGUGGGUUAGCCUGGUAUACUUCGGGCCCUGGGAGCCUGUGACGCCAGUUCAAAUCUGGCCCAGCCCA
rnacentral:tRNA from 1 species